AGUGGGAUAGCUGGGUCAAAUGGUGAUCCUAUUCCAAGUUUUCCAAGCCAUCUCCAUACUGCUUUCCAUGGUAGUUGCACCAAUUUGCAGUCCCACCAGCAAU
rnacentral:pre_miRNA from 1 species